rnacentral:lncRNA from 1 species
CUCUCUGACUAUUACAAAAUGAAAUCCGGCAGGAUUUCUCCCUCACGGGACCUCAUCCAGCUGUUCAUAGUCCUGUUCGUCCCACUCCAGCUCUCUGAACCAGGGGGUCCGUAUAGAGAGGAGCAGGCCUGGCAGCUCAGAGAGGCACCGUGCUGCCCGGCAAGAUAUGACCCGGUUGGAGCCUUCUCCCCAGCGCGACACCGAGAGCUCCUGGAUGGAUGAGCGGAGGGGCAGAGACAGGUCCCGGCGGCCUUCAGAGGCCCGAGGAGACAGGGUACAAGAGAGUGGCUACUUCUCCCCUGAAAGACGAGGCGGGGGUGAGUCUGAGGAGGUCAACAAGCGGCCGCAUCGCUACUACGAAAGAGGACAUCCCCUUCCCAGCAACUACGUCCUGGAGCCCAAAGCCUGCGUGCCUUACAGGAACGUCAACCUCGGCGUUCCCUCCCAGAGGAGGAACACCGAGACCUACAUGCAGGAAACCUGGAGAAGCGAGUCCCCGCAGAGGUACACGUACCACUCCAACUUCAGACCCGGAGGCGACUCCGAGAGAAACUCCCCGACGCGCCACAGCUCGGUGAGCCCGGAGCGCUACAAGCUAGCUGAGUACCCUGCAGGGGCCCAGCGGGGCGGCUCCCUGUCGAGGAGCCAGGCCCGGUCCCAGGCCUCGUCUCACGGCUCCUCCCGGCGUCCGUCGCACGCUCCUUCUGGGCACACGUCGGGCAGGUCCAGUCCAUGUCGUGGGAGGGGAUCAAAUGCGUCUCGGGCCAGGUCUCCCUCAAGGGCCACCCCUACUCGGAGGCGCGCAGACUCAUUUCACCUGCAAAGCGAUGAUUGUAGUUCUCGGAAGGCAUGCAGCAGAGCGUCCGGGACGCCGUCGCAGGCUUCCAACAAACACAGUUUGGACUCGGAGAAGCUCUACAGGAACCUGGAGUCCAUCUCUCGCCGUGGCUCCUCGGCUGUUCAGCAAGACUCGCGCGAGGGGUCCCGAGCGUCCCCGCGGACCAGAACGGCUGCCAACAGCUUGGGAACCACUCACGCCCAUAACAGCCGCGAGGAGUCACCGUCCAGAAGCGGCUACGGGACCAACAGUCACACCCCGCAAAGAGAGCUCCACUCCAGAAGCAGCCGGCCCAGUCCGUCCCAGGAGUCUUGGCAGGGGUCCUCACGCUCCUUACUCAGCUUGCCACACUCUCGUGGGUCAUCUACGUCCAGAAGGGGUGUGGAUUAUAAGGCGCUUGGUGGCUCAUUGCCACAAGAUGCAGCCACAGAAACAGAUAGAGGCAAUAAGGAGAAUGAAGUGGUGAACGGUGGCCGAAGCAGGAGCAACCUGAGGCGAGGCAUGGAGGUGUUACUCAUCUCUGAACCCAAGAAGGCUGCAGUAGACGCUGAGGAGGUAGGUUAGGUGUGUCAGAUACUACUCAGGGUCUCUAAAAAAGGUGUGGUCUCCAGACUUCUCUCAAACUGAUGGAGCAUUGAAACAUUUUGACCUCCAGAUGCCAUGACUUAACUUAACUCAACCGUUAAACGUGUAGUAAUACAUAACUGAUGUAAAAUGAUUAAAACACUUCCUGAAUUUGAGGUGGGGAUGACCAUGGACGACUACAUAGUACUGGCCGAUAUCCCAAAGAUACAGCUGGAGUCUGAAGAAGAGUUUCCUGGUCUGAAAAAGAGAAAUCAGAGUCCCAGCCCCUGCAGGGACCAGAGAUCCAGAACCUACAGGUUAGUGGUAUCACAUGAUGAGCUGCAAGGCUAUGGUGAGCCACUUAAACAUUUCCUAUGUAUCACUGUUAUUAGCCAUAGGUUGAUACUUGAUGAUAUAUUUAUACUUGUGAUUAUACUAAACUAAUACAAACAAGAUAUUAUUUAAUUGGACAAACCUCAGAACCUGCAUCGCCCCUGCAGGAAUUUUACUAAACACCUUGCUUGUGAAGGUAUCCCGAUGAAAUCGACCUCUAUGGAUCAAGACUUGAGUCAGAUGAGAGGGGGAGAUGCAGAGAGAGAGGCAGAGACAGACGAGAGAAAUGCCAUAAUGGACGCUCGUCCCGAAAACAGUCAACGACGUCUUUACAUACUCAGGUAUGACUUAGUAUUUUUCAUAAUAAAAACUAUAUUGAAAUGCCA